rnacentral:tRNA from 1 species
CGGAGCGUAGCUCAGAUGGCUAGAGCGCGCGCAUGGGGUGCGUGAGGUCGCAGGUUCAAGUCCUGUCGCUCCGA